UACGAAGGGGGCUAGCGUUGCUCGGAAUUACUGGGCGUAAAGCGCACGUAGGCGGCUCUUUAAGUCGGAGGUGAAAUCCUGGAGCUCAACUCCAGAACUGCCUUCGAUACUGAAGAGCUCGAGUCCGGGAGAGGUGAGUGGAGCUGCGAGUGUAGAGGUGAAAUUCGUAGGUAUUCGCAAGAACACCAGUGGCGAAGGCGGCUCACUGGCCCGGUACUGACGCUGAGGUGCGAAAGCGUGGGGAGCAAACAGG
rnacentral:rRNA from 1 species